UUUAUAGAAAAUAAAAACCUAAAAAAAAUGUUUAAAAGUUCGGAAAAAUUGACUUCGAUUAUAUUAAUAAUAUAAAUAAUUCAACUGUCAGCUUUUUUGCCAAAACACGAAAACCUACAAACAUUUUUAGCAAGACAAAUCGGCAGACGGGAUGGAAAGUUAUCAGUGUGGAUCGCAUCUCAGCCUAUUAUUUUAUAAUAAUGUGUUGCGCCAACCUUGAACAAGACAUAAUUAUAUUUAUUUGUUUUAUUUAAUUGAAAUUGACAAAUGUAUCUAUGAAAGUUAACCUUCCUGCGGAAAAAUAUUUACCUUCCUAUAUUUCAAGGCAGUACCCUACAUCUCCCUAUGAAAAAUGUUUGAACACAAAUAUUGUGAAAGGUAUAACUUCUUUGUUGAUUCAUGUCACAAUAUUUCUACUUUAAAAACCAGUUUAAUAGAUGAAGGUUAGCAGUAGGUAAGAAUAGAUCUUUUAUUUACCGCGCCACAUCCUGAUAACCACCCGGACUAGCACCAACCUUAUCAUUCACUUUAAAGUGUAAGAUGUGAAGAUGUCCCUCCAGUAACUGGCUAGUAAGGAUGCGGCGCGAUCAAUAUAUAACAAUAUUGACUCUAGUUACCCACGGUUCUGCCCUUGGACAGUUCUUCUGUAGAUUGAUGGUAGAGCGCAUUCCAAACCAUUAGCAUUGUUUUGAAAAAUGAUUCUUAUUGGGGACAGGUACUCCGAUAUGUCCCAAGAAAUAUCUUUUUGUUGUUUUCUUUUAUUAAAUUUUUUUCGGACCAGCUCAUUCUUUUUAUGAAUUUUUUCAUGAGCGUAAAUGCAUAGGACAUCAGAGGGGUUACUUUAGAUUCAUUAUAAACAUAUUAAUUUGAACAUUUUCUA